UACAGAGGGGGCAGGCGUUGUUCGGAAUUACUGGGCGUAAAGGGCGCGUAGGCGGCCUGCUAAGUCGAACGUGAAAUCCCUGGGCUCAACCCAGGAACUGCGUCCGAUACUGGUUGGCUUGAAUCCGGGAGAGGGAUGUGGAAUUCCAGGUGUAGCGGUGAAAUGCGUAGAUAUCUGGAGGAACACCGGUGGCGAAGGCGACAUCCUGGACCGGUAUUGACGCUGAGGCGCGAAAGCCAGGGGAGCAAACGGG
rnacentral:rRNA from 1 species